rnacentral:rRNA from 1 species
CUCUACGGGAGGCAGCAGUGAGGAAUAUUGGUCAAUGGGCGCAAGCCUGAACCAGCCAAGUAGCGUGCAGGACGACUGCCCUAUGGGUUGUAAACUGCUUUUAUGCGGAGAUAAAGUGCCGUACUCGUACGGUAUUGCAGGUACCGCAUGAAUAAGGACCGGCUAAUUCCGUGCCAGCAGCCGCGGUAAU